rnacentral:tmRNA from 1 species
GGGGGCGACUUGGCUUCGACUUAUUUAGCUAAUUAGGAGUUGCGUACCGAGGUUCUCAGGAGGCCUCGUUAAACACCUGGGACAAAAGUAACUGCGGAAACGCAAGUUGCCAACGUUCUCGCUGCCUAAAAGGUUCAGCGAGGUUUAUUUAAUUUCUGCCUGCGGAAUUAAGUAAACUCAAGCAGCAGGAUAGCCCGGCAUCUAUAGCUUUUUAGAUGUCAGGUGAAGCUCUUAAAAGCUAGCUCUUUUAGAUCCUGCCUGUUUGGAGCUAAAAGAGUGAAAUUUAAAGAAACAGGCUAUGUACGUAGACGCUCUUAUUGAUCUAUUUAAGGACCGGGGUUCGAUUCCCCGCGCCUCCACCA